AGCGUGGCAUAUUUCUGUGCGCAUGCGUUAGGUCCGCCAUUACUCUGGCCAGUAACUUGACGCUGGCGUACUAUAAAAUAAUAUUGGAAAAGUGCGAUUUUGGGAUAAUAAUCGCCUAAAACGCAAACUGUUUUGGAAGAUCAUGGAAUUUUGUGACAAAACGUGAAAGAAAUAAGGUUGCAACUUGCCAACUUGCUAAACUAUAAAUCAAGUUAAUCAACCAGCUAACCAAGUAAUCCAAUAAUGAUUCAUGAUGCUUGUGUGUGAAUUAUAACUGAUAAUAAUUUGCAACAUUCAGUUUCAAACCAUGGAGGGUUUGUUUAUCAUUUUAAGCAUGAGUGAAAUGUUAAUAUGUUAAUAGUUGGGCAUUUUUAAUACCAAAUGUAGUUUUAGUGAGGUAUACACUCUGUUUGCCUUAUUUAUAAAUUUUGCCUUGCUGUGAUUUGUGCUCUAUUAAAUUUAUUACCAAUAGUUAUGAUUGAUUUUCUGAUAUUUUUUUCUAGUUGUUAUUUUGGCAUUCAGUUCUAAAGUGAGGAUUAUGUUGCAAGUGUCUUGUGUUAUGUAGUUUUAGUAUGUUGGAUUAGAUUUUAGUGGCUACUUGUUGCAGUAGCAUGUUAAACUUUGUUUAUUAAAUUCUAUUACGUUUUUA